rnacentral:ncRNA from 1 species
UAACUGGCUCGUGGCGGCCAAGCGCUUACAGCGACGUCGCCUUUUGAUCCUUCGACGUCGGCUCUUCCCAUCAUUGUGAGGCAGAAUUCACCAAGCGCUGGACUGUUCACCCACUAAUAGGGAACGUGAGCUGGCUUUAGACCGUCGUGAGACAGGUU